GGAAAUAAAUUCUUUAUUACAAAAUGAUUACAAGUUACAACAUUUACAAGUUAUAGUAAUAUUACAAUAUAUCAUCGGAGUGAUUACAAGAGAAAUUGAUUCAAAAGAUUACAAUUUGAAUGUAUAAAACAUUUAUAAGUUUUAAAAUACAUGCUAGCUUAAGAGACAAUCCUCGAUAGAGAAGCUAAAGAUGGGAUAUACUUAUAUAAGAAAGCCGAGCCCACCGGCACUUAGCAGCAUCCACAACAGAACAAAAUUAUAACCUGAAAACAACGAGGAAUAAAACCCUGAGUACGCAAUUACUCAGCAAGACUUACCCGACUAAAGAAAAGACUCUCAAGGGUAUGCUGGUUUGUUGGGAAUCAAGGUAAAGCUCAUCAAAUUUCAAAGACUCGUUUUUGCAGAAAAGCUUACUAGUAGUGGAUCCUUAUGCCAAACUUUUACUUCACAAAUUAAGUACUUUUCCUGAAUCUAGAUUUGCCUAAUCUAGAGCAUUCACUUGUCCUACACUAGAUUCAUUUUAGCAUCUUUAGUUUCACUUGUUAUCUACGAUGCAGGGCAGUGAUCCAGUCUUCAUAUCCGAGAAAUAACGGCGAUCCGAAUCGAUUAAUACUCAGCUGAGGAUCUCCAACCACACAACAUAUGUAGCACUUAACCCUUGCAUAUGUCAACACGCCCACGGGUUUCUCUAGACCAGAAUGGGUCCCCGCCAACCGAGAGCUCAGUACCCCACCAUCCAGCCUCUUGCCAGGUGGAUACACGAUACUCUCGCCAUCUCUCCACUCCCAUUGCGGGCCGGCCUUUCUGGUAUUGGUCCAGCCGAGGCUAAGCUUACCCAUGACGAGGCAUGUGGCCAGUUAAAGGGUCCUAGAUCAGCAAGCCUACUUUCGGUACGGUCCUUAAUCGACACAGACGGGCGACCUUUCCUGCUCAACGUUUGGUCUCAUAUUAUUAUUUCCUUCCCAAAACCAUGUACCUGACAGAGGUACCAUACUUGAAUGAUGAAUUCAUCACUGCAGAUGAUGCUCUCACCAUUACAAGUCCUUUUUCAUAUAACAAACCCAUACUCAGUGUUACACAACAUUCUUUUAAAAAGAAUCAAGUUUUAGUUCUCUAGGUAGGGCUAAGCCUCAUCAGUUCUCUUUAUAAAACAGGUAGCAAGGAGGAUAAUCAAAUUCCAAGGAAUGGUAAUGCAUCAAUUAUUUAUUUACACAACUCCUAUCACCUAAUGUAGCAGGUAAGUGAUAAAAGUUUUUAAAACAGAAGGAGGUGGCAAAUGCACCGGGGCUUGCCUAGGAUAACACUAGGUUAGUGUUGUUAGAUGACGUCCACUUGGCGAGCAUCUCACAUCCUAGCGCUUGAUCCGAUCAUGCAAAUCUUCAAGUUCAUUCAUCAGUAUCCCUUGCGAAGAAACACACGCUUAACAGCAUCUCGUGGUCGACUCAGCUUGACUUCCGCAUCACGUGAUCAACUAGCGCACCUAAUUGAAACGCAUGAUGCACAUGAUUGAAUAUGAGAAGUAAUAGCAAGACUAAAUAAUUUGCCACAGAAAUGAAUUAAACACUUAAUGACGAGGCAUUACAACACUUCAUCAGCAACUGCUAGUUAUCGAUAUAUGGCUAAAUGCAAUAAUUACGCCUUUCUAGAUUAACAGGACCUAAUGCAAACAUCACGAAAUAGUAAACUAUACACUAACUAUAAUACUCGUGUUUCUCCUGUUUAAUUGGAUCUAAUGCUAUUAUCAAGCAAGAAUAAAUUAUAAACACACACUAUCACCCAUAGUUAAAAUAUAUCAUCGGAGGUCUAAUAAAACUUAGACUAAGGAUAGAAGCAAUCUAAUUAAUUUUCUAAACCACUUUUCUAGACAAUUAGAAUCACACUAAUUAAAUGGAGCAUCACACUAUCUGAUCGAGUGAAUAAACGUACCAAACAACAUACAAUUCCAUGAGAUUAUAUUCAUAACAACUUAAAUACUUAAAACACUUAUGUGCACUACCCCAUCGACGGUUUUCAAAUUUCAAUAGAAACAAACAUAUGCAACUAUAAGACUCCUUUAAUCAAGUCAAGAACUAACCACAUCUAGUUACCCACACAAAAGAAACUCCAAGCAAUCAUUUCAGACUUGCUGAAUUUGGACAGCAACACAGCAGUCAACGGUUUUGCUCACAACCCGCAAAAUAUUCAUCCAUAAGGGGUGAACAAAGACUUUUUAGAAAGCUUAGGAAGUCCUCUACAACUUUUGUAUUAUCAUCAUAACAAGAUUCGACCUUUAGAAAGGUCAAACAGAACUAAAUAAACUCUGUCCAGAUUUAGACAGAAUUCGACUACUUACUUCAAAAAUCCAUAACUGGAGUUUCAGACAUCCAAAUCAGGUGAUCCUAGACUUUUUCGAAAGCUAAUAGAAUUCUGUACAAUUCAUUUAUGAACAUCCUAGGUUGAUUUAAUAUAUAUCAAGGUCAGAAAACAUGAGAAAGGCUCUGCUGUCCAAAUUGGGACACAUUCAGAGAUCCUAACUCAAACAGUCGUAACCUAACUUAUAGAUCACAAAAAGGGUGAUCCAAAAUUUGUUGGAAACCUUAAGAAAAGUACUACAAUUCUUCUAUAAUUACUAAGGGCUGAUUCUAAGUUUAAUUUAGUCAAACAAAGCAAUUUUCGAAAUCAGUACAGAAUCUGGACAUAUUCUGAAACUGGACUUGGGAAAAUCAUAACUUCUAUACUGCUAAGCCUAUGGUCAUGAAAUUUUUACACAAGUAAGAUAAAGAAAUUAUCUACAACUUUUAUAUAUCACACUUUCAGAGAAAACAUGAUUUACUUCACUAAACUAGCUGCGCAAUUAAAACUGUACCUAUAGCUCUAAACAGCAAUAUAUUCAAUUUAGCUCCUAUUUGGCUUCUACAAGUGUCAUGUGCUUAGUACUUCAAAUACUACUAACACCUUAUCUUAAAGUAGACUUAAAAACCACCUACUUAAUCACAUAGAUAUAUUGGUAUACUUUAUAACCAUACACACAAUCACUUCGUAUGAGUUUGUAUCUUCAACCUAAAGUUUAUAUUGCAAAUGAAGAACUACUAUAAUGACACUAUGCAUAUACAUCCAUUCAACCGGAAUUCGGUUAAUAAAUAUCAAGUAACAUGACCACUAAAACAUAGAACUAUCUCCAACAUAUAUUGAUACUAAUACAUACUCAUGAAAAUAAUUUCAUUCACAUACACAAAUCAAUUUAAUAGCACAAGCCUUAUACAUCCACACAAACUAAUCAUUCAUUCGACUAACGAAAACAAUGGAUUGACUUACCACGACUAAACUCGACUCGACUCCGCGAGAUCGACAACCACAUCCGGUUGAGGCGAUUCACCAAGCACUUGGCAAGCGCCUCGCUAUAGCUUUCUUCUCAUCUAAAUUUCCUAGGAUUUACCUCCACCACAAACACACAAACAUAUACAGUAAAUAAUCAAAUAUAGGAAUUGGUGGGGAAUAAACAUAGCGCAAGCAGCUGGUCUCACCGGGGUU
rnacentral:lncRNA from 1 species